rnacentral:tRNA from 1 species
ACUUGGAUAGUUUAAAAAAAAUAUUGACUUGUGGCGUCAAAGAUGUAAAUAUUUACUUUAAGUA